rnacentral:rRNA from 1 species
GACGAACGCUGGCGGCGUGCCUAAUACAUGCAAGUAGAACGCAGUUGCGAACGGGGGAGUAACGCGUAGGUAUCUACCUAUUAGAGGGGGAUAACUAUUGGAAACGAUAGCUAAUAUCGCAUACUAGUAGAUGGACCUGCGUUGUAUUAGCUAGUAGGUAGGGUAAUGGCCUGCCUAGGCAACGAGACAUAGCCGACCCGGGAGGGGGAUCGGGCAAAAUGGGACAUAGACACGGCCCAGAAUCCUAGGGGGGGCAGCAGUAGGGAAUCUUCGGGAAAGGGGGGAACGGUGACCGAGCAAAGCCGCGUGAGUGAAGAAGGUUUUUGGAUCGUAAAGCUCUGUUGUUAAGGAAGCGGUACUUAACCAGAAAGGGACGGCUAACUACGUGCCAGCAGCCGCGGUAAUUC